rnacentral:misc_RNA from 1 species
AAGUCGUAACAAGGUCUCCGUUGGUGAACCAGCGGAGGGAUCAUUAGAGAGCACAGCUCCCAAACCAUUUGUGAAUCUACCUCGUUGCCUCGGCGGGCCCCCCAAGGGUGGGGGUUUGGCCUGUUGGCGCCCGCCGAAGUUACUCUACCGUACCUAUUUCUCAGUACAGCGCAAUAGUUAAAACUUUCAACAACGGAUCUCUUGGCUCUG